GGGAGGCAGUGCAUACCCUUCAUCCCAGCCUUCCAGAAAGACGCAGGCGCUCAUCUGCAAAGCCAGCUGCGGCUGAAUAGGAUGUGUUUCCAUCCUCCAGUGUUUCCUGUCUUUCUAGUGACUUCCUAUCUCUCGUUGAUUGACAAAUCGUUUUAAGAUGCUGGAGACUGAUGAAAAACAAAACCAAAUCCUGCUGUGAUCCUUUCACAGCUGGGCCCUUUCUGUUCCAUAUCUGAGUGGCAGGCAGGACUUAGUGUGAUCAAAAAGGAGAAGGCUGAAGGAACAUCGCUCUGAAGAGAGGAAGGCAAAGCCAGGGGCUCUGUCUCCAGGCCUAGAGCUCUGAGUCGCCCUGGCACAGGCGUGGGAAAGCUAGACCCGCAGAGAGGAAUGGGCAGAGCCCCCAAACCCAGCCUGGAUGGGGUUUUACGACUGAAAGAGACCAACUUUGCUAAAGCUGGACUCCCGGGUAGGAAGCGUGUUCUUUCGCCUGAAGGCUCCCACUGCUGGCGAAGUGCGGGCUUUGCCUCAGGGCCCCGGAAAUGUUCCACGGACGAACAAAUUAAGACCCUGAAUAUUUGUGCAAGAGCUGAUGAAAGAGAAGGGCAAAGAGUGAUGGAAUGAGUUUUAGACAUGGUAAAUUUCUAACCAGAACUGCUGCCAGCUAAACAGAUCCCUUGGGGAGGGAAUCCCUUCAUCACUCUCCAAGUCAAAUUGCUUCUGUGUUAAACCAAAGCUGAACAUGCCAGGGAAGAUGCAGUGCCACCUGCUCUCAUGGGCACCUGCAAUGGCCCACCUCAGUGGAGAAGGCCAGCCAGGAAUUUUGGGGCCCAGAGAGGAUGUCCUAAGCUUCCUCACUAUGAAGG
ensembl:lncRNA